rnacentral:lncRNA from 1 species
CUGGAGCGGGCACCUGGCGCUCCCGCGCUGCGGCGCGCAGAGCUAGCUGCGGGGCUGGGGAAUCCGCGGCCACCGCCUCUAAUCCGCCCUUAAGUAGUCUCCGCCUGCGUCACGCCAGGUCGGCGGAGGGGAGCAGAGCGCGGCGUGCCGCUGUCGCCGAGCGUCGGAGCCCGAGGGGCCGCGGCCGCGCGCCGCGGGGGGAGGAGACGGUCUGGAGUCCCCCCGCUGCGCCGGAGAUGGGGAGACGGAGAACUGCAGCGCCCCUUGGGGCUUCUGAGGCGCCCAGGUAACCUCACCUGGCCGCCAGUCUCCCGCAGGAGGAACAGACACAUUGGUUCUACACCGAACCUAUUAACAGCUCAACUUCAAAUAUUUGGUAAGUGAAACCUCCCUGGAAGUUGACAGUUGUAAGAAUAUAGGUUGAUGUAUUGACCUCUGCUUUCCUGGGCAGUCUAUGCCUGGGAUGACAGAGGACAUGUAAUCUUCAUGGUGCUUUCCACAGCUCUUCAGCAUUGUGGAAAUGAAGCAUUUGUUGGAGGACUAUGAUGAAGACACACAGAACAUCAAAUUCUUGUGACCUAAGAGAGCUAGCUACACGUUCCCUGACUGGAGAUGGUCUCUGAUCUUCUUUAUGGUGUAAUUAUAUUUAAUGCAGAGAGGGAAAGGGGAUCCACUUGCCACAGAGGGAUCUUUACAUGUUAUGGAUUACUGGGGGAUGGAGGAUGUCCUGAUAACUACUGGUCCCUGCUGCUCUCCUCUUUCCUCUUUUCCUCUUCACUGUGGUCAUGACACAUGCUAACUAAGCCAGGUAGUGCUGCAGCAGCACAGCUUAGGCUGCGGCAUCAGCAUCAGCAAGGUGGCCUUGGAAAACUGAUCAGAGCCUGGGGCACAUCUCUCCUGGGAAGUGGCAACAUCUGCAGUCUCUUGGGAUUUGUGUGAUGCGGAGGGACUCCAUUCCACUUGGGAUUGGUCCCCACGUUAAAGUCUUUCACAUAUCAUUCACAGACAGUUAGAAGUAACUCAGCCUCACUUCCCCCAGUGGUCUACAUGCAUCUGUUCCCCAAUGGAAAUAUCAAACUGUCUUUUGAAGGGGAAAAACUAACCUGUCUUAGGAGACUUAAAAGAACAUAAAUGGCAAAUGAAAUCCAUUCUUUGGUGCAAAGGGAUAUCUCCCUUUUUAUCCUUUGUGCUUCUUUCAUAUGUUUAAAUCUCAGCCCAGAUUUUUAGAGGAACACUUGCCUUGAAGGAUACACAAAUUUACUGUCUCAAAGGGGAAUAAAGCUGUCCAACUUACUGAUCAUAAUAGUCCUAAAUAUGGCCAGAAUCUGUUGCUAUCUCAUGAACCCAAAAUCCAAACUGUGACUAUGUUUCUAACUGAUAGUCAAAUCUACCAUCUUUCUCCUGCUAGUCCUUUGAAUAGCAGAGUCUGUACCCCUUUAAAAAAAAUCACAUGUACAAAUUCCCCAUUCCUCACUUAUCUUGUGUAUAGAAAAUAUACCUUGCGCAGUAAUAUCUCAGGGAUUAACGUAAUAUGGUAUUGUGGCCAAAGCAGAUGUGUGAAAUCACAGCAAAUAAAUUAACACUCCAUUAAGAAUCAAAUCAGCCCUGCUGACACAUAAUCUUUCCCGUUUAUGUCAAGUCGUGAUUCCCAUUCACAUCGGGAGCGUCCCAGGGAGGCUCAUUAGACCUGCAGGAAGAGAUUUCUUUUAAGUCAAAGCUAUUCACAAGUUAUUCAGCUACAGUGAGGGCAAAAGAGCCUUCCUGGCGUCUGGGUACCCGCCUCUCCACGAUCUCUUUGUCACUGUCCACCCAAAGCCCCAGCCACGCAGGAUAUAGCUAGGCUUCCUGCUGAGUUUGCAGUCUGUAUAAAAGAGAUGAGGAAAUUACAGAGGAAAUAUGUGUGGGCAGGGCCUGCCCUUGAGAAAUUGUCAAACUGGGAGAAUAUCUUUUGGUUGCCAUCAGCACCCUGCCUCUGCUUCUUUUACACCAGACUGCCGUGCUGAAAGUCAGACCUCAGGGUUGAGUUCUUCCUGAUGCCUUAGCUACGCUUCCAGUAUUAUAGGGUGGGGUCAGAGUGAGUCCCCAGAGCUAACACUUAAGCCCCACGUGAACCCUACUGGCUGCUCCUUAACUUUCUGAAGCUGCCAACAUCUAUUUUGUCAGCGUCCCUGGGACUAAGUGUAGUCUAGUUCAGAGGUUGUUUUGUCAACCAGUGUGGCUUCGGGUCUCUCUUAAGCACCCACAACAAAGGCUUCUAUGGAGAGCUUCUUGUUUCUGCAGUGGAUUGAGACCAGAGAGGGACCAGCCUCAUUUGUCAGUCAUUCCGUGCUCAGUUUAAUUCAGUGGUUCUCAACCUGUGAGUCAUGACCCUUUUGGGGGCUGCAUAACAGAUAUCCUGCACAUCAGAUAUUUACAGCGUGAUUUAUAACAGUAGCAAAUUAGAGUUAAGAAGUAGCCAUUAAAUAAUUUUAUGGCCUGAGCAGUCACCAAAAUAUGAGGGGCUGUAUUUAUUAAAGAAUUGUAGCAUUAGAAAGAUUGGGAUUCUUUUGCUAUAUCCUCAUGUUUCUACCCUGAUGGGAUUCACCUUGAAUUUAUAUCCUGUUGACUAUUGAAUUCUCCAUCACUGUGCUUCGCCCACACUCACCCCUUACUCUCCCACCAAAGGAAAGUAAUCCAAUGAGGGAACACACACAGGGUGUUAAUAACUGAUAACCACUUAAUGUAUUAUCCUUCUCAAAGGAAUUAUCCUUAUUCAAGUUGCAAAACCUUCAUCCAAAGAAAUGAAGAUUUUUAGGGAGCUUUUGGAAUACUAUGCUUCAAGAAGUGAACAGCUAUUUGGGAGCAAGGGAUAUCUAAACCUUUCCAAAUGAUAUUGCACAAAAAGUACUUGCUUCAUUUAUUGCUCUAUAAAGGGCCCAACUUGUGGAAAUACGGGAACCACACAAAUGCAAUGAUUCUUAUAUUUACUGCAUCUUAAAACCACCAGGGAGCUUUGAAAGCUCACAGUACCUAAGCUCUACUCAGACCAAUAAAAAUCAGCGUUCCUGGAAGUGAAAUCUAUGCAUUCGUAUUUUCAUAAGGAAAAAUAUUUAGCUUAUUCUGGCUCCAAUAUGCAGUCGAAGUUAAGCUCCACUGUAAUAAUGAACACCAUUAACUGCAGAGUAGUGGUAGUCUUAACAAGCCCAGUGAAGCGGGCUUUCUCCCCACGAUGGGAAUGGCUGCUGCUGGACACAAAGCCAGAAUUUCAUUCUGAAAAUGUGUUCAUGUGGUUCUGUAAGUACUUAAUAUAAUCCACACAGGCUAAGUAGUUAGUUGCUAAACUGAAAACACCCAUCUCAUUUCAUCCCAGUCCACUCCUGGCCAUCUGGUCCUCUGAAUUUCCAUUACAGGGCCAUGUGUGUAUUAAUGAAAUGAUUGCAUCCGAUUACAUCUUUUAUUCAGAGCACAAGAACGGUCCAUGAAUUCUGUCCUCGAGCAUUACUGUUUUUGUCGUGAAGUCACUAAUUAAGUUUACUCCGUUUCAGGCAGAGGUGGGAUUGCAGUUCACUAAGGUAAGAAAGUAAAUCAAAUAUGUUACUGCUGAUAAUAAAAUUAUAAUUUUGCUGCCUAGCAACCACAGGGUAGACACUUCAAUCAAAAAUGUUACCUCAUUGUUUUCUGUUUGUUUCCUUUGUUUAAGACAGAGUUUCUCUGUAUAAUAGACUUGGCUGUCCUGGCACUCUCUUUAUAGGCCAAGCUGGCCUUGACAUCAGAGAUCUGCCUCCUCUGCCUCCCAAGUGCAUGUGCUACCACCACCCAUGGUAACUCUAUUUAAAACUGUUCAAAAUAUAGUUUAUAUUCUAAUCAACUUGUUACAAGUGGCAUAAAAGAGAACCACCAAGCAGUUGGGCUUGCUCUCUCUCCUUUCCUGCACUUCUUUAUAACAGGGUGGGUAGUCAGAGAGCCACAUGCCUGGAUUAUAUUACUUUGAAGUUGUUUAAUUGAGUAGGCAUCAGAAUGAAUAAAAAAACAGAAUGAUUAUAUGAGCCAGCUUGGUUACGCAAAUGUGAAAAUGCACAUUUUCCAGGGCAUGCUUUAGUGUGGCUCAACUGCUUUAUCAUUGGAGCUAGAAACAGAAGGCCAUCUCAGUUAAAAGCAAAUCCUGCUUGCCUCUGUUCUGGGACUGACCUGCGGUGGGUCACUUUGGAUGGCUUCCUUCUCGUCUUCACUGGCCUGUUCUGGUGUUUGCUCCUAGGAUUUGUCACGUGGAUCUUGACCUAUAUGAGUUGCUGAUAUUUUGCUCCUUCUCUAGUUCUCUAUUUCUUUUGCUCUUCUUUCUUGGAAAUUUCCUCAUUUUUUUUCUUCUACUUUUGUUGCAUUAAUUUUUUUCUGUAAUCAUAUUGUUAACGUCUAAGAAUUUAUUUGCAUUGACCUGUGUCAAGGUGGAAACAUCAGGGCAGAAGAACAUAACUGAUAAUAGCUGGUCACACCUAAGAAGCCAGGAAGCAGAGAGAAAUGGAGACCAGCCUACGAGGACACAUUCCUAGUGACCUUCUUCCCAACUUUGGGUUUCCACCAAUUCACAAGAACACCAUUAAUUAUGAAUUCAUCAACAAAUCAAUUCAUCAAUUAAGUUAAAGCUCCCAUGAUGCAAUCACUUCCCUACAUCCUCCCGUCUGAACAUCCUCGCCAUUGAGAACCAAGCCUUCAACACAUGAGUCUGGGCACAAUAAGUCACAUUGAAUCCAUUGAAGAUGUAAAUUUUAAUGGUUGAAAAUGACUAGCAUAUUAUGUCUGUGAAAUUCAGUAAAGGGGAAUAUGGAAGAGAACGUGUACUAAAACUAAGGGUUCUAGAACGCAUCUGUGCUCUUCCUUUCAAUCUGGAGAGUGAGACAAGGAAGUCUUAAGUUCAAGGCCAGCCUGGGCUAUGUAGUGUAUGCUACCAUUGGCUAUAUAAUUUGACUCCAGCAUUACAAGAAGUAGAGUAAAUAAAAGAUAAAAAAAAAUGACUAUAGAAGUAUCAAGAUAUUACGACUCAUUCAUAUGAUUUCUGCAAUUGAUUUAGUAUGGCAUAUGAUUUAGUAAUCAAAGUGGAUGAAGAUGAUAUAUAUGCAUUAAUAAGAAUAAGUAUGUGAGACUAAACACAGAAUGUCCACCAGACACUGGGCAGUAAUUAGAUUCAACUCUUGUAAAAAUGUUCAACAGGAAGAAAAAAAAACUAUAACUUUGCUUUAUACUUGGAUAGUUACUUUCAGUCAUACAGGUAUGGAAUAAAAUGAAAGGAAAAUGUAGAUGGGAUCUGAAGGCCAGCCUUCUAUUAUACUAUUAAAUUGUAGUGCAGGAAAGAAGAAGAGUUUGUUGUAUUUGAUGUUUUCCGAGGUUUUGUUUUUGUUUUUGAAGCAUCUUUUGUUUCACAGAUGCUGUUAAAUGUUGAACAUGACACAAUAAAAAGAAACAGACAAAAGUCACUGUCCUUGAGGAACUAGUAUGAAGAAAAAUCAGAUGUUAAUAAAACAAUCAUUCACAAGAUCCCCAAAAUCUAUAUGGAGGUUGAUUACUAUAGCUUUUUCAUCAGUCUGACCUGAGGAGGGAGAGGAAGAAAACAGAAGGAGGAGAUAAAACGUGUUGACAGAAUUUACACACACACACAAUCAAAUGACAGGUGACUGUGAGAAAAAGAAGCAAGGAGGAGUCCCAGGCAUAAUAGAAUGGACAACUGACAUUUAGUGUGAUGAGAAGUCCUGGAUGUGACCAAGUUUGUGGAGAAGAUUAUAAAUUUGGUUUUGCACAAGUUGACAUAAAAGCACCCUUGAGAUGUUUAAGAGAGAUCCAAGAAGGAAAGGUCCGAUGAAGCAAGCAGAAUGCAGACCAAGUCUGACAUCUAAAAAACAGCUCUGAAUAAAUUUAACAUUGGUAUUUAAGAAUGAAGCAUCGAAUCUUCUGUCCUUCAGCAAGUGGCAGUUAACUUCCUGUUGGGGAAACAGGUAAGAAUUUGAUUCAAUGGACAUGAGCUUCUCAACCAUGUUUGGGAUGGUCUAGGGAUGAAACUGCUGGACAGCUGAGCCAUGGAGACUGGGGAGAGGCCUGCCUGGCUGAGACCAAGCCCUGCUGUACCAUCUGCAUUUGACAGUGAGGAUGCCCAUUGACAGGAAGCAGACGUAGAGAAAAGGAGAAUCAGAAUGAUCGACAGGCUUCAAAUCCUACCUCUAACACUUAACUACGUUCCGCACGUUUGGUCUCGGGCAGGCCAGUUAACUCAUCAAGACCCCAUUUUCACCCCCCUGAAAAGUGGCAUAGUAACUCAGUUCUAUUGAGUUACUGAGGACUGGCCCACAAAGAGACAAGCAAUGUAAGUCAGACGCAAGACAGACUGAACCUGCUCUGUCACCAUUCGAUACUUUUAGAGGUGGGAUUAGCUUUCUGUUUGGAAAAAUUGGGUCACUACCAUUCAUUCCUCCAUUCAACAAUGUUCUAUUGAUUAUGAAGCAGAGUUCAGUGGUAACUAGCACACAACAGGAUUUAUCCUCAGUGGUAAUUGUGGAAGUCAGAGACGUGGAACAUCCUUGGAAGGGAGAGGUGGUUUCACUGGGUUAUUUAGAAAUGGGCCAGAAAGCAUCUAAAUGGAGUUUCACAGAUAGCCUUUUUUGAAAUAUCAUUUAAGUUUUUGUUUUAUUUAUUUUUUUUUUUGGCAUCAUUGAAAUAUAUUCAUAUAGGCCAGGAUAAGCCCCCCUACAAAAUGGGUAACAGAAGAUGACCUUGAACUCCUGACAUCCCAAUUUCUACCUCCUGAGCGCUGAGACUGUAGGUGGCCUAAUUGUUUCUAAAGUAGAAUGGAUCUGAAGUUCCUGAACUUGCGUGCAAGCGUUUGACAGAGGCUGAUGAGAGAUUCCUGUCACUGUGUGUGUGCCGAAGUUCUCUGGAACUGGGACCGGUGAUAUUGAUCUGACCCUCUGCAGUGUUCCGAGGGCUUGCUUACCCACUCCAAGUCUGUGAGUCCUAAUGAAGCAGAGCUAAGUCCGCUGAAGACCACCUUUGGGAGGGUAUCUUUUGGCUUUGUGAUAAUAACCACAACCUGAGGAUGAUCGGAUGAUGAGUGCGGUUUUGACUUGCAUUUCCCUGGCUUUCAGAUCCUGGAGUGGCUGCUCCCUGAAGAGAGUCCUGGUCCUAGGAAUCUGGGAUUCUACCUGAAGUCCCAAAGAUGAACAAAUGGUAGAGAGGCACCUGACUGAGCCUGCUUCCUAACCGACUUCUCAGAACUGCCUGCCGCUGGGCUGCCUAACAGAAGCUCAAGUUCUGGGAUUCCACCCUUGAAGAGAACUGAAUCUGCACUUAACUUAGUGCGCCCUGUAGGUCAGGACAUGUAGUUCUUGCUACCCUGAAGCUCACUAUGUACGACAGACUGGCCCCAACACACUGAGAUCUGCGUGGUUCUGUCUCCCCGGUGCUGAGAUCAAAGGCACGUGUAUAGUUAGGGCACAGGACUUUUACUUAUAUGUUAUGGCUCUAGGUUUGUUUUCAUGGGAUUCCUGAUUGUGCCAGCAAUUGGGUCUCUGUGUCUACAUCUGUUUCUUUUGCCUUUUCUUUGACUCCCUCUCUUUUGUUUGUUUCGUUUGCCCUAUUCUGAUGUGUUAGUUUUUGUUUUAUCUUAUUAUAUUUUAUUAUUAUUCAUCAAGUGCCCUUCUGUUUUCUGAAGAGAAACAGAAAGGUGGUGAAUUUGCAUGGGGUGGGAGGCAUAGGAGAACUGGGAGGAGUAAAGAGAGAAGAGAUCAUAAUCAGGAUAUAUUGUAUGAAAAAAAAAACCAGACUAUUUUCAAUAAAACUACAACAAAAAAUGAAGAACAAAAAUAAUCCCACAAGAAGGAAGAGUAACCUUGAACUUAUGGUUCUCUCUGCUUAAGCUUCAUGAGUGUUGGUAGUGUGGGAUUGCACCAUGAGGAAGAUACUGUGGUGGGAUAGAACAGAUUGUGACAGAAAACUAAAAAGUCUCAACCAGAAGAAUUAGAAAGAAAGCAAGAAAGCAAGGAAGGAAGGAAGGAAAGAAGGAAGGAAGGAAGGAUGGUCGAGUUUAGGUCAAAGUUGUGGGCCCAGCCGAGAUGGGAGCAUCCCAGCCUUCCCAGGCACUCCCCCUCACUGUGAUGGACACCAGUGAAGGAACAUAGGAAGGCAAGUGUCAAUAACCUCCAACCUGAACCUUCAUGGCCACCUACCAUCCACAAGACAGAGCUGUGUAUAUUGGAGUCAGCUCUUCACCUGUGAUAUCAGCAGGGUCCGGAAGGGUGCUGAGCUUCCAUCAGCGAUGAGACUUAACAGGCAACAAACCCAAGGAGCGCUGUUGGCUUCCUACUGCCCAUACCCAUCUCUAGAAAGCAAACCAAUGGUGCGAGGUGCAGAACCUAGCCGAUUCUCUCCUCUCCCUCUCCUAAGCUCAGCAGCAGGGAGAGCUGACCUCCUGUUUUCACCUAGAAGCAGCAGAGCUGUGUGGGUCAGUCCCCUGCUUCCUGCCUCUCUGGACAAUGAAGUCUGCCAGGAGACUAAGUUUCAUUCCCUUUUGAAGGCAAUGGGUUUGCAAGAGUCAGGGCAUAUCUUUCCUCAGGAGAGGAUUUCCCCCUAAUAAAAUAAAGGUGUCAUAAAGACACUGGAACCUUUUGCUCUGCCAGUACAGACGUUGUUCCCUGUAUUCUCCCUCUCAUCUGGACUGCUUGGCUAUCUCAUACCUAGCUGCAGAGCCUAAUUGUUUCCUAUUGUUAGUGUUCCUGACCUUACAUCAACCUUCACACUCCUUUCUAACUCUAUGUCUGUUUUCAUCAUAGCACAUAUAAUUUGUGGUUGAUCUUCUUGUGUUGUUUUAGGUUGACUUAGUGGCCCCUUGUUAUCUACUAAUGAACUUGUGAUAAAAUAUGCCGAGUACACAAACUAAAAUUAUCUAUGAUUUGAGAAAAAAAGAAUCUAGCUACCAUUUAUAUUAUUGUAAAUACACAAAUAAAAUAAUGUAUGGGGUAUCUGGCUUAAAAUGCCAGAUGACUUUUGUCAUAUCACAAAGUAAGCAAAGUCUUUCAUCUUAGAGAGAAAUGAAAUUAUAUAUUUGAUCUUCUUGUUAUAUUUUCUUCAACUAAAAGCUGUCCAACUGCA